rnacentral:misc_RNA from 1 species
AAUUCUCAAGCCCCAGCACAGAAAUAAACCAGCCCUGUCUUCUCUCAGGUCAUCGUUCGAGCCCCAAGGCCCUCACCCACUCUUUGUCUCCUUCUCGCCGCUCGGGAGCUUGACGUAAUUUAACUUUAUUUUGGAUGGAAACAAGGACGGAUAUAGUUGAUGAUGAUGAUGACUUUACUGAAAUUUACAAGGAAUACACUGGUCCUCCAGGAUCUACUACCAAUAAUGCACAAGAUAGGUCAAAAGCAAAUAAAAGGUCCCACGCCGGCUCUGAUGAGGAAGAGGAACCUCGGGACCCAAAUGCUGUGCCGACUGAUUUCACUAGCCGAGAAGCUAAGGUUUGGGAAGCUAAAUCAAAAGCUACGGAGCGGAAUUGGAAGAAAAGGAAAGAAGAAGAAAUGAUUUGCAAAAUAUGUGGAGAAUCAGGCCACUUUACUCAGGUAUUGUUUUGUUGCUUGGCAAAUAUCAUACUAAUUUUUUUUAUUGGUUAAUAUUGUAAAUUAGGUUACCCUUAACAUCAGAUGUUUUACAUUCUUACAAAAAUGUACUCAAAGACUAAUUUGGACCAGACUUGGACCUGGGAAUGGUGCCUAAACUCAUGCAUUUCCGAUGAACUUCCCAUUGGUUAUCAAUUGCUUAGAUUUUCUUCAAAACAUUUUAAUAUCUUAUUUACUGUUAUCUUUUUUUACUUCCUACUAUAGAUGCCAUUAAGAGUUGAUAUGUUUCAGUUCAUCGUUAUCUUUAAUAUAUUAUGCCUUUGUUGUUGAGUGAUGUAAUUCACACACUUAAGACAGAGAUGCCUUCUUUCUUCUUCCUUACCCUACAUAUACAGGGAUGCCCCUCCACUCUUGGAGCAAAUCGCAAGUCUCAAGAUUUCUUUGAAAGGAUUCCUGCAAGAGAAAGGCAUGUAAAAGCCCUAUUCGCUGAGAGAGUGAUACAGAGGAUUGAAAAGGACAUUGGCUGCAAAAUUAAAAUGGAGGAGAAAUUUAUAAUUGUUAGUGGCAAGGAUAGGUUAAUUUUAGCAAAAGGUGUUGAUGCUGUGCACAAGGUCAUUAAAGGGGAGGUUGAUCAGAAGGGUUCUUCUAGUUCCCACAAGAGCAGAUCUAGGUCACCUGAGCGAAGUCCUGUUGGAUCACGAUUGCGACGCUCUGAAUCCCAGAGGUCUUAUACAGGUCACUCGCGAGAUACUUCACAGUAUCAACAAAGGUUUGGUAGACAAGAUAAGAUUGUGGAAGAUCGCGUUCGUGAGGAUCUGCAGAAGUUUUCUAGGGGUUCUCCACAAGGUAGGGAAAGCAUAGGAUUUUUUUAUGGCAUCCUUAGAAAGCUGGUAAAUCAAUUUUCAUAGCUUUAGGGCCCUACAUACUCUCCUAUUUAUGCCUUAGAGUUCAUUUUGAAAAUUCUGAAUUCUGAAUGAUGCUGCUUGUUACUCGUUCUUUGUUUGCAGCAAGAGGUAAGUUCUUAGCUUCAAACAUAAUGUGUACGAUUCUGAAGUAUUUUCGUGGAUGGGUUUGAAUUGAGCCGAUAGACUACAAAACAAAAUUAUUUACUGAAAGCAUUUUCGGACUUGUUUGCGACGGAUGGAUUCACUCUGUGAAUGUUAAAUAACAUGUAGUUAAAGGUACCAUCUAGCAUCUCGAAUCAAGUGCUUAACAUACUCUUCAUUUCAUGAAGCUUAUGGUAAUGAUGGUGGUAGAAGUCGUUCAAGCCAUUCUAAAUCUCCUGCACUUCCCCCUUAUGCUGGCAACUCAUAUGGUUCAUAUGAUGGUCACAAUCACAGUGUGGGUGGUUAUAGAAAUGAUGGGUGGGAUACUGAGAGACAGGGACCUGAUUUGCAAUCUGGCCGUCAAUUUGAAAACUCGACCUUUCCUCAGAUGUUGGAAGAGCUAGAGUUGGAGUAUAAGAGGGAGGCCAUGGAACUUGGCAGAAUUCGUGAUAAGGAAGAAGAUGAAGAGAAUUAUAAGCAUCGUGAGACCAUCAGGGAGAUGAGAGAGAAUUAUAUGAAAAAACUGACUUUGCUGAGGAGCACACAUACAAGAAAGUGGGAGGAAUUUCUUCAACUUGAUGCUCAAAGGCGUCAACAGCAGGCACGGCAGCAAAUGCCCACAUCAGGUUUUGGUGGUUAUAAGCAGCACACUUUUUCUGACUAUGAUGGCUCCUCCACCAAUCCUCACUAUCCUGGGGCCGGUUUACCAAUGGAUUUGGGGGCCAGAUACCCAAAUCAUGUUGAAAAUUAUGCUUCAAGGCCUCAUGACAGUUAUGGUGAGUUCCAGCGUCAGAGGCGUGAAGAUUUUGGGAAAGCUUACAAUCAAUACUAAAUUCGUGUACUGAAAAUGAUUUUGGUGAGUUGUCUCAAUCUUUAGUCAGUAAAGAGAAAGACUAAUUGUUGUCAUCUUUUCUUUUGGUUUAUUUCCCUCAAAAUCUGAUUGUCCCCUCUGAUUCUUCUUAUAUCCACGAUCUUCUUUCUGAAAUUCAUGGUUAGUUUUAUCAUAUCCCAUAAAGAGGUAAUUAUUUAUGGCUGUGGAUGAGAAAAUAUCAUUCGAUCCAGCAUUUCACUUAGCUUCAAUUGUUUGUGAACAAUGCAUAGGAGGGUGCAGUUUCUGUAACUUUUAUUAGGUUUUUGGUUGGGCAGGGAUGGAGACGAUAGGAUUCUUUUUGUGGAUAUAUGCGGAUUUUAUGAUAUGAUUAUUCUGCCUUAGCUUUAACUUCUAUUGCAAACAUUUUCAGGGUCCAGAUCAUGGUCAGUUAUGAGUAAUGCACAGGGGAGGCCCAAUUCUUGGUAAGCAUGUUAGAUAUUUAAUCAACCCUUGAGAGACCAGAAUGGUCUGACAGAUUUAUGAUGUGGUAGAAUUGAUUCUAUGUCAGCUAGUGGUUCAUUUCUGUUCAGAACUUCUUUGUUGUAUGAAAGUGGUUUAAUUUUCUUCAAUGGGUGGCAAUUUUUGGAAGUUGCAAACUCCUGAAUGGACGCCGUUUGCGUCAAUGGAUUAGUAUUGACAAAAUUUUGAACUCAACUAAAAUUCUGUAGUUUGAACACAUGCACAUAGACAUUCGUAGAUGCAUUUGUUCGCAUACGCAUAAUUUUCGUUCAUAGUUGCUGCG